rnacentral:tRNA from 1 species
GGUCUUAUAGUCAACUAUGAUUUUAAAUUGCAAAUUUAAAGGUGGGGAGUUCCCUAAGGCUU